rnacentral:rRNA from 1 species
UGGGGGAUAUUGCACAAUGGGCGAAAGCCUGAUGCAGCGACGCCGCGUGGGGGAUGAAGGCCUUCGGGUUGUAAACUUCUUUUGCUCUGAACAAGGCGCACCAUGGGGUGUGUUGAGUGUAGGGGUUGAUUAGCGCCGGCUAACUACGUGCCAGCAGCCGCGGUAAUACGUAGGGCGCGAGCGUUGUCCGGAAUUAUUGGGCGUAAAGGGCUUGUAGGUGGCUGGUUGCGUCUGUCGUGAAAGCUCAUGGCUUAACUGUGGGUUUGCGGUGGGUACGGGCUGGCUUGAGUGCAGUAGGGGGGGCUGGAAUUCCUGGUGCAGCGGUGGAAUGCGCAGAUAUCAGGAGGAAUACCGGUGGCGAAGGCGGGUCUCUGGGCUGUUACUGACACUGAGGAGCGAAAGCAUGGGGAGCGAACAGG